CCUACGGGAGGCAGCAGUGGGGAAUAGUGCACAAUGGGCGAAAGCCUGAUGCAGCAACGCCGCGUGAGCGAUGAAGGCCUUCGGGUCGUAAAGCCCUGUCCGCAAGGAAGAGAAUGACGGUACGUGAGGAGGAAGCCCCGGCUAACGACGUGCCAGCAGCCGCGGUAAUACGUAGGGGGCUAGCGUUAUCCGGAAUUACUGGGCGUAAAGGGUGCGUAGGUGGUUUCUUAAGUCAGAGGUGAAAGGCUAGGGCUCAACCGUAGGAAGCCUUUGAAACGGGGAAACUGGAGUGCAGGAGAGGCGAGUGGAAUUCCUAGUGUAGCGGUGAACUGCGUAGAUAUUAGGCGGACCACCAGUUGCGCAGGCGGCUCUCUGGACUGUACCUGACACUGAGGCACGAAAGCGUGGGGAGCAAACAGGCUUAGAUACCCGGGUAGUC
rnacentral:rRNA from 1 species